GCCGAAGUGGUGAAAUUGGCAAACACACUACGUUCAGGGCGUAGCGGGCGAAAGCUCUUAAGGGUUCAACUCCCUUCUUCGGCA
rfam:Candidatus Melainabacteria bacterium RIFCSPLOWO2_12_FTLL_35_11 rifcsplowo2_12_scaffold_1221, whole genome shotgun sequence.